GACGUAGGGCGCGAGCGUUGUCCGGAUUUAUUGGGCGUAAAGAGCUCGUAGGCGGCUUGUCGCGUCGACUGUGAAAUCUCAGGGCUCAACUCUGACAUUGUAGUCGAUACGGGCAGGCUAGAGUUCGGUAGGGGAGACUGGAAUUCCUGGUGUAGCGGUGAAAUGCGCAGAUAUCGGGAGGAACACCGGUGGCGAAGGCGGUUCUCUGGGCCUUACCUGACGCUGAGGAGCGAAAGCGUGGGGAGCGAACAGG
rnacentral:rRNA from 1 species